rnacentral:rRNA from 1 species
UACAGAGACUGCAAGCGUUAUUCGGAUUCACUGGGCGUAAAGGGUGCGCAGGCGGCCAAGUGUGUGAGGCGUGAAAGCCCGGGGCUUAACCCCGGAAUUGCACCUCAAACUACAUGGCUAGAGCAUUGGAGAGGGUAGCAGAAUUCAUGGUGUAGCAGUGAAAUGCGUAGAUAUCAUGAGGAACACCAGUGGCGAAGGCGAGUCCCUGGACAACACCUGACACUGAGGCACGAAAGCUAGGGGAGCAAACAGG